rnacentral:tRNA from 1 species
GGGCCCGUAGCUCAGUGGGAGAGCGGCUGCCCUGCAAGCAGCGGGUCGGGGGUUCGAAUCCGCCCGGGUCCACCA